UACAGAGGUCUCAAGCGUUGUUCGGAUUCAUUGGGCGUAAAGGGUGCGUAGGCGGCGCGGUAAGUCGGGUGUGAAAUCUCGGAGCUUAACUCCGAAACUGCAUUCGAUACUGCCGUGCUUGAGGACUGGAGAGGAGACUGGAAUUUACGGUGUAGCGGUGAAAUGCGUAGAUAUCGUAAGGAAGACCAGUGGCGAAGGCGGGUCUCUGGACAGUUACUGACGCUGAGGCACGAAAGCCAGGGGAGCAAACGGG
rnacentral:rRNA from 1 species